AUUUGUGUGUUUUUUUUUAAAAAUUCCCUACUUUUUUUUUUAAUAUCAUAAGCACUUUUCAAAUUGCAGAAAAAAAAAGUUAACAACAACACAGGCAAUGACAACAAGUAAUUCAAUCCAUGAUCCAACUCAACAUAUGUACAAGUCACAGAAUACCAUACAUCUGUUGUGUGAUAGAACUCAACAUUUGCACACCUUUCAUCUGUUGUUAUUGAACAGGCUCGUGUACACCACACAUACCAAAUGCUGAACACUGAUGGUGGUGGAAUAAUUCAAGAAGCAGACAAUGUAAUAAAAAAUAUUACAAUGUUACAUUUUGUUCUUUUGACUGUCGUGAAAUGGGUACAAGGGAAGUAACAGAAAAUAAAAGGUGGAAUGACAUGAAUAUAUAUCUGGAUUUAUCUGUAAGAAACCAUUUUAACUUAAUAGAUCUAGUCUAGUUUAAAAUUCACAGUAUUUAAGAUUUUACACAAGUCACAGAUUUUUAGACAGUUCAAUUUACAUGUAAGUGAUAUGUACAGGAAUAGUCACAUUUUAAAGAUUUAGUGUUAUCUCCCCUAUCCUAUCUGCCAGGUAUUCCACACAAUUUGCCAAAAAAAUAUUGCUGCACUUUGAAAGUAGCUUUUCAAGUUCUACAUUUUACUUAAUGUUACUAGAUUCUGUUAUUUUCUACCAUUCAUAGUAAAUGUUAAGCAUUAAAUUAAAAUGAUAAUUUGAUCCAUUGCUUCUAGUUUCUAUACAAAAACAAUUUUCAUAUUUACAUCCUCAAAGUAACUGAAGGUUAAUUUGUUUAUUGUGUAUCUAAAAGCAAUGCUAGAACAGGUUGCCCGAAUCAGCCUGGAAAAUUAAGGGCUAAGUAUAGUUGAAAGUAUUUAACAUGAACUACAAGAAAAUGAACAUGUGAAUGUGUAUUGAUCUUAAAACUUUCUUGAAGAAAUGCCUCAUUUAUUAAAAAAGAGAGCCCUCUUGAGAAAAUAAACUACAUCAGACUCAAAUAAUCUAAAAAUAAAUCUAGAGAAAGAAAUGCCUGUCUUAUGGUUGCCAUUGCCUCAUUAAAAGAAAAAAAAAAAAAGAUGA